AGACAACAGGGUUUGAGUUCAGAAGGAUGAGCUGAAGAAACAGAGAACACUUGACAGAAAUGCACGUGGGUGUGCAUGUGGGCAUUAAAAAAACUGAACACAUUUCACUAAGGAGAAACGCAAAGUACAGCACUUGGGAGUAACUGAUUGAGCAAAAUACAAGACGGGGAAGGACUGACUGGGCAGCAGUGCCAUACAAGGGAUCAGAGGUCAGACACUGGACAUGCGUCAGCAACGCCGCCAGGUUGCAAGAAAAGCAAAUACCAUCCUGGAAAAGUGUCAAUAGGAAGGCUUUGUUCAGAUGGAGAACCAUGUCCAGUCUAAAGCAUCAAUUCCAGGAACACCAGGAACCAAGUGGAUAGAGCACAGAGGAAAGCCGGGAGAGCUCUCUGAGCCUGAGAAACAUUGGAACAACCCAGUCCUUCAUCUACAGAAAGAGAAGUUUAGAAUGUUCUGCACAUGAUCUACGGCUCCGGAACUCAGGCCCACGUGUUUGUGAAGGAACCGCUGCCCUUGCUGAUAUCCCACUGAAUGAAGCUAAAAAAAAGUGGUGGAGAUCACAUCAUCCUGUGUUCCUUCUCCUCUUCCUCUCCUUUGCAGUGCAGAGCACACUAUGUACCUGCACUCAGUCCAGCUGCAAGAACAGGUCAAGCGCCAGAUAUUUGUGAUCACAAAUUUAGCAUCCAGAG
ensembl:lncRNA